rnacentral:rRNA from 1 species
GUGGGGGAUAUUGCACAAUGGGGGAAACCCUGAUGCAGCGACGCCGCGUGAAGGAAGACGUACUUCGGUAUGUAAACUUCUAUCAGCAGGGAAGAAGAUGACGGUACCUGACUAAGAAGCCCCGGCUAACUACGUGCCAGCAGCCGCGGUAAUACGUAGGGGGCAAGCGUUAUCCGGAUUUACUGGGUGUAAAGGGAGCGUAGACGGUGAAGCAAGUCUGAUGUGAAAACCCGGGGCUCAACUCCGGGAUUGCAUUGGAAACUGUUUUACUUGAGUGCUGGAGGGGCAAGCGGAAUUCCUGGUGUAGCGGUGAAAUGCGUAGAUAUCAGGAAGAACACCGGUGGCGAAGGCGGCUUGCUGGACAGUAACUGACGUUGAGGCUCGAAAGCGUGGGGAGCAAACAGGAUUAGAUACCCGUGUAGUCC